GGUAAUGCUGGUGGAGGGGGUGUGGUAAGACGGGGGGGGGGGGAGGUAAGUGUGUUUAGUUGGGGGAAAGUGUGCGUAGGCGUCGUAUUAAGUCGGUUGUGAAAUCCCUGAGGUUAACUUAGGAAGUGCAUUCGAUACUGGUCAGCUAGAGUAUGGGAGAGGAUGGUAGAAUUCCAGGUGUAGCGGUGAAAUGCGUAGAGAUCUGGAGGAAUACCGAUGGCGAAGGCAGCCAUCUGGCCUAAUACUGACGCUGAGGUACGAAAGCAUGGGGAGCAAACAGGAUUAGAUACCCUGGUAGUC
rnacentral:rRNA from 1 species